CCAGCGCAGGAGUUCAUCCGCUGCAUCCAGGGGUAAACAGGGCUCGUGUACUUCCGGUCGGUGCCUUCGUCAUUUAUAAUUUUGGCUUGGCCGCCGCUGGUUUUGUACUGUUGAUCGGGAGAAAAGUGCAGGUAGUCCCCGGGCCCCCUCUGUUUGCCACUGCCGGAAGGAGAGGAGCUACUAAUGUCCUUGUCCGAAUAAAAACAAGAGGCUCCGUACUCAUAGGAAGCCCGACUGCAAGCAAUGACGGUGUUGGACUGUUGGUAGAAACAAGGUUCUGGCUCACAGGAGCCCCUGCGACUUUGACAGCUGUCGCUUUGGCUGCACAGGAGACGAAUCGCCCUCCUUUUGGUGCCAGAAGAAGCAGGAAAUUAGCCAGGUUGCAAGUUGAAAAUCUGCCACGCCAGUGCUUUGAAUCCAAUAUGCCACACCUUCCAGCGGGGGAACUGGAAAUUGCCAUCCCGGAUCUGUGUUCUAGGCGGCUGCUUAUGCCGAACCUCAGCACACUUUGUUCACUAUUGCCUUACAAAGAACAAAUGAAAUGGGGAUUGAAAGCCAGAGAGAUCCGAAGCAGGACAGAGCUCAGCAAAAGAAUGCGGCUCUAUUCUCGCAAGGGAAAUUAUAAAAAAGUUCAUGUUCACGGUUACCAUCCACAUGACCGACAACGACCAAUGGAAAAACCGAACAACUCAUAAAGUUGUAUUGCAAAGUUGUAAAUUUUCAUAAACAACAACGGAUUUAUGGCCUUUUCCUCAUCACUAAGAAGAGGCAGGUCUUAGAGAGGCGCCAUCUUACCACAGAGGCAGCCCUGGAGUUUUUUAAAAGACCUGGACUUUGUACUAAUUUUAUUAAAAUUACAAUUAGUGCGUUGACCAGGAACGGAGUGUAGUAGAAAAAAGGGAACUUCAGCGCAAUUAAUGCUCCAAGUCUUACCUGUAUUUACCCGGCCGAAUAAAAGGACUUUUCAGGUUCGAUAUUUUUUUUUUCUUUUAAUUAGGAAAAAAAAAAAGGGAGGGGGGUAAUAUUAGAUCUCAUUGAUACUACGUGGUACCUGGCAAAAAUAAGACGUUUUCUAAAGCGGGGCAGUUUUCCCCCAUUUUCGUGCUACCGUGAUGCCCCCUGGCCCCCGAAAACCGCACACACGAACCACAUAUGUACCCCAUCAGAUCAUUUACACUUGGAAGUUUCGUCUUUCACUUUCUGUUCAUUACAAAAUAUUCUUUCACGGCAUGAGAUUUCGACUUGAUCGCCGAUCGUCUGGACUGGGGUAAUGACUGCAAGAGGACACGGGAACACGGUGGAAGGAAGCUCUCCCAUAAAGAAGGCUUUCCGCUUUAUUAAUCAACAACGCUAGGGGAAAAAAAAUCACGAAGUCGAGCUAGAGAUAUUGGUUGAUUCCUAUCAAUUCAUCACUUUGUUGUUGGGGGUUUUUUUUUCCCCUUUCUGAUUACCGAAAAAAAUGUUUAGGUGGUCUAAUUUCUUUAUUAGUCUAUGUAAUAUAUUUUUGUUGCUUCCUUCGAACUUGUUCCUUAAUAAAGAAACACAAUUCAUUGUCAACAA